rnacentral:rRNA from 1 species
GACGUAGGGUGCAAGCGUUGUCCGGAAUUACUGGGCGUAAAGAGCUCGUAGGUGGUUUGUCGCGUUGUUCGUGAAAACUCACAGCUCAACUGUGGGCGUGCGGGCGAUACGGGCAGACUUGAGUACGUGCAGGGGAGACUGGGAAUUCCUGGUGUAGCGGUGGAAUGCGCAGAGUAUCAGGAGGAACACCGGUGGCGAAGGCGGGUCUCUGGGCAGUGAACUGACGCUGGAGGAGCGAAAGCCGUGGGGAGCGAACAGG